GGCGGGAUAUCAAGUCAGUCGUCAAAGCCUGUGGCUCAACCACAGCCCGCGAUUGAUACUGGUAACCUUGAGUGCGGAUGAGGUGGAUGGAAUUCGUGGUGUAGCGGUGAAAUGCUUAGAUAUCACGAAGAACUCCGAUUGCGAAGGCAGUUCACUGGGCCGCAACUGACGCUGAAGCUCGAAAGUGCGGGUAUCAAACAGGAUUAGAUACCCUGGUAGUCCGCACCGUAAACGAUGGAUACUCGCUGCUGGCGAUAUACAGUCAGUGGCCACGCGAAAGCAUUAAGUAUCCCACCUGGGGAGUACGCCGGCAACGGUGAAACUCAAAGGAAUUGACGGGGGCCCGCACAAGCGGAGGAACAUGUGGUUUAAUUCGAUGAUACGCGAGGAACCUUACCCGGGCUUGAACUAUGGUGGACCGUUCCAGAGAUGGAUCUUCCCUUUGGGGCCGCCAUGGAGGUGCUGCAUGGUUGUCGUCAGCUCGUGCCGUGAGGUGUCGGCUUAAGUGCCAUAACGAGCGCAACCCUUUCCGUUAGUUGCCAUCAGGUAAUGCUGGGGACUCUAUCGGUACUGCCAUCGUAAGAUGUGAGGAAGGUGGGGAUGACGUCAAAUCAGCACGGCCCUUACGUCCGGGGCUACACACGUGUUACAAUGGGGGGUACAGAGGGCUGCCACCUGGUGACAGGGAGCCAAUCCCGAAAACCCUUCUCAGUUCGGACUGGAGUCUGCAACCCGACUCCACGAAGCUGGAUUCGCUAGUA
rnacentral:rRNA from 1 species